rnacentral:lncRNA from 1 species
UAUUUUUUAUUUUAAAAUUAUAAUAAUUUGGUAUUAUUAUCGUUUUAUGAACUAUAUAAAAUAUAUAUAAAAAAAAAACUGAUUUUGAAAUAAUUUAUUUUUUCAUUUCAAACAGUUUGAUUUUCUUUUUGAAAUAUGAAGUAAAUUAUUUUAUUUUUUUAAGUUUGGGAUACCAUCAUAGGAAGUGGUGUUUAGAUACAAUGAUUUUUUUAAUAUAAUAUACCAUCCAAACUCAACCAAUUCCCAUUUGAUAUAUUUUAUUAACAAAAUCCAUACUUUCUAAUAAUUUGUAAUUUGAGAGAUACAAUAAGGAUUUAAAUAUGUGUAUACUUGGCCUUUAAAUUUUGAAAAUAAGAAAACUUAAAAUUCAUGAUAAGAAUAAAGCACUCCUAAUUCCUAAGUAACAAAACUACUAAACAACAAGUCAGUAACACAAUUUCAAUUUAUAAAUACGUAGGUUAAAAAUAUUUUAUUUGUCAUACCAAAACUUAUAUAGUCUCAACAUUUUUAUAUAUAUUUUUUUUUAAAUACAUAAAGUUAUUCAUAUACACCCACA